UGACAUGCAGAGAAGAUACAAACUUUCCUGGCUUGCGGUAACCUGAGAGAUUUUCACUUUCCUCUUGCAGCCACGGAACCCCUCAGGAUGCCAGCACCUACCCUUUCUCAAUCCUGUGUGAUUCACACUGAUCCAGUCCCCUCACUCUGUCCACAUUGAUGAGUAACUUACUCAAUGUCCCACUUGUACACCUGGGUCUAUCUGUUUUCUCUUUUUCUUUUUUCUUUUGAGACGAGUUCUCACUCUGUGUCCCAGGCCUCCCAAAGUACUGGGAUUACAGGGGUGAGCCACCGUGCCCGGCCGGUAGGGCCUUUUUAGAGGGCAAAAUUAGCAACAUAUCGUUUUCCCAGCAGUUCCAUUUUUCGGAAGUUAAGCUACAGAUAAUAUGCUGGGUCUCAGGACGCACUGGGGGAUGUUAACUGCUGCCCUGUUUACAGCAAACACUGGAGACAAUCUGGCUGCUCAUAAUAGGCGAUGGAUAAAAACAUGAUGGUGAAGUCUGAUGGGACCAUGGAGCCUCAGCUCAUAGUGAGCCAGAAUUAAUCAGGCCCCGGCUUACCUGAUACAGAGGAGACAUUCUGGAGUCCCAGUGCCCAGGAAAGAAGACGGGAGGCAGUAGCAGAGCCUGGGAGAGAUGGCCUGAGGAUGUUGUGAUGGAAGACUGUAUAUGAUCAUAUGCACUGCUGUCCAGUCUGCAGAGCCAUGUGGGGGCAAGAAGCAGAGGCAAGGAGCUGCCUGCAUGUGGGCUCUGCUUCUCUAUCCCUCACUCCGUCUCCUCCGCUGCAAAAAGAGGACAGCAAUAGCACCUGCUGCAGAGGGGUAUGUGAGAAUUAAAAGCUACUAAAGAGUAUCCCAAAAGUCCUAGAGCAGUUUUAAGUUUUAAUAACUGUGAAAGUACAAGUACUACAAACAUAUAAAAAAAGCCAGCUGAGUGCAGUGGCUCUAGCCUGUAAUCCCAGUA
rnacentral:lncRNA from 1 species